rnacentral:rRNA from 1 species
UCUUGGUCAUUUUGAGGAAGUAAAAGUCGUAACAAGGUUUCCGUAGGUGAACCUGCGGAAGGAUCAUUUUGAAUUUUAAAUAUUUGUGAAUUUUCCACAGCAAACAAAAAUCAUACAAUCAAAACAAAAAUAAUUUAAACUUUUUACAAUGGAUCUCUUGGUUCUCGUAUCGAUGAAGAACGCAGCGAAACGCGAUAUUUCUUGUGAAUUGCAGAAGUGAAUCAUCAGUUUUUGAACGCACAUUGCACUUUGGGGUAUCCCCCAAAGUAUACUUGUUUGAGCGUUGUUUCUCUCUUGGAAUUGCUUUGCUCUUCUAAAAUUUCGAAUCAAAUUCGUUUGAAAAACAACACUAUUCAACCUCAGAUCAAGUAGGAUUUCCCGCUGAACUUUAGCAUAUCAAUAAGCGGAGGAAAAGAAACCAACAGGGAUUGCCUUUGUAACGGCGAGUGAAGCGGCAAAAGCUCAAAUUUGAAAUCGGCCACCAGGUCGAGUUGUAAUUUGUAGAUUGUAUCUUGAGAGCGGAUUUAAGUCUGUUGGAACACAGCGCCUUUGAGGGUGACAGCCCCGUAAAAUCUAUUCUCAUUGUAAGAUACUUUCGAAGAGUCGAGUUGUUUGGGAAUGCAGCUCUAAGUGGGAGGUAAAUUCCUUCUAAAGCUAAAUAUUGACGAGAGACCGAUAGC